rnacentral:snRNA from 1 species
AGCUUUGUGCAGUGGCAAUAUUGUAGCCAAUGAGGUUUAUCUGAGGUGCGAUUAUUGCUAAUUGUGACCCACACUCUGUGAAGUUAGAUGUAAACUUUCAGACAGUGGAUAAGCUGUGAGUAGC